GGACUACCAGGGUAUCUAAUCCCGUUUGCUCCCCUGGCUUUCGCGCCUCAGCGUUAGAAGAGGUCCAGUGGGUCGCUUUCGCCACCGGCGUUCCUUCUGAUAUCAACGCAUUUCACCGCUCCACCAGAAGUUCCACCCACCCCUACCUCCCUCGAGUUCGCCAGUAUCAAAGGCACUUCUACAGUUGAGCUGCAGGAUUUCACCCCUGACUUGGCAAACCGCCUACGCGCCCUUUAAGCCCAGUGAUUCCGAACAACGUUCGCACGGUUCGUCUUACCGCGGCUGCUGGCAC
rnacentral:rRNA from 1 species